GUGGGGAAUAUUGGACAAUGGGGGGAACCCUGAUCCAGCCAUGCCGCGUGUGUGAAGAAGGCCUUUUGGUUGUAAAGCACUUUAAGCGAGGAGGAGGCUACCGAGAUUAAUACUCUUGGAUAGUGGACGUUACUCGCAGAAUAAGCACCGGCUAACUCUGUGCCAGCAGCCGCGGUAAUACAGAGGGUGCGAGCGUUAAUCGGAUUUACUGGGCGUAAAGCGCGCGUAGGUGGUUAAUUAAGUCAAAUUUGAUAUCCCCGAGCUUAACUUGGGAAUUGCAUGCGAUACUGGUUAGCUAGAGUAUGGGAGAGGAUGGUAGAAUUCCAGGUGUAGCGGUGAAAUGCGUAGAGAUCUGGAGGAAUACCGAUGGCGAAGGCAGCCAUCUGUCCUAAUACUGACACUGAGGUGCGAAAGCAUGGGGAGCAAACAGGAUUAGAUACCCCUGUAGUCC
rnacentral:rRNA from 1 species